UACGUAGGGUGCGAGCGUUGUCCGGAUUUAUUGGGCGUAAAGAGCUCGUAGGCGGCUUGUCGCGUCGGAUGUGAAAGCCCGGGGCUUAACUCCGGGUCUGCAUUCGAUACGGGCAGGCUAGAGUGUGGUAGGGGAGAUCGGAAUUCCUGGUGUAGCGGUGAAAUGCGCAGAUAUCAGGAGGAACACCGGUGGCGAAGGCGGAUCUCUGGGCCAUUACUGACGCUGAGACGCGAAAGCGUGGGGAGCGAACAGG
rnacentral:rRNA from 1 species